GCCUGGAUGGCUCAGUCGGUUAAGCGUCCGACUUCAGCUCAGGUCACGAUCUCACGGUCCGUGAGUUCGAGCCUCGCGUCGGGCU
rnacentral:tRNA from 1 species